rnacentral:rRNA from 1 species
GAUGAACGCUGGCGGCGUGCUUAAUACAUGCAAGUCGAGCGAAAGGACGAGACGCUUGCUUCUUUGACGUUUGCGGCGGACGGGUGAGAAACACGUGGAUAACCUACUUAUCAGUCUGGGAUAACUUCGGGAAACCGUAGCUAAUACCGGAUAAUCUUCUGAACCGUAUGGUUCAAUAGUGAAAGACGGUCUUGCUGUCACUUAUAGCUGGAUCCGCGCUGCAUUAGCUGGUUGGUAAGGUAACGGCUUAUCAAGGCAACGAUGCAUAGCCGACCUGAGAGGGUGAUCGCCCACACUAGAGCUGGACCACGGACCUUGCGCCUACGGUAGGCAGCAGAAGGGAAUCUUCCGCAGUAGUCGAAAACCUUGCGGAGCGGCCGCGCGUGAGUUGUGGAGGUCUUCGGAUCGUGAAGCUCUGUUAUUAGUGGAAAACAGAUGUGUAAGUUACUGUACACAUCUUGACGGUACCUGGUCAGAAAGCCACGGCUAACUACGUG